UACGUAGGGUGCGAGCGUUAAUCGGAAUUACUGGGCGUAAAGCGUGCGCAGGCGGUCUGUUAAGACAGAUGUGAAAUCCCCGGGCUUAACCUGGGAACUGGCAUUUGUGACUGGCAGGCUAGAGUAUGGCAGAGGGGGGGUAGAAGUUCCACGUGUAGCAGUGAAAUGCGUAGAGAUGUGGAGGAAUACCGAUGGCGAAGGCAGCCCCCUGGGCCCAAUACUGACGCUCAUGCACGAAAGCGUGGG
rnacentral:rRNA from 1 species